AAGGUACUCCCUUUGAUCCAUAUUAAUUGUCGAAAUAUUACGUGUAUCUGGACGCUUUUUAGUCCUAGAUACAUCCAUAUUUGGGCAAAUUUGAGACAAUUAAUAUGGAUUGGAGGGAGUAGUUU
rnacentral:pre_miRNA from 1 species